AGAAGCUUGCUUCUCUUGAGAGCGGCGGACGGGUGAGUAAUGCCUAGGAAUCUGCCUGGUAGUGGGGGAUAACGCUCGGAAACGGACGCUAAUACCGCAUACGUCCUACGGGAGAAAGCAGGGGACCUUCGGGCCUUGCGCUAUCAGAUGAGCCUAGGUCGGAUUAGCUAGUUGGUGAGGUAAUGGCUCACCAAGGCGACGAUCCGUAACUGGUCUGAGAGGAUGAUCAGUCACACUGGAACUGAGACACGGUCCAGACUCCUACGGGAGGCAGCAGUGGGGAAUAUUGGACAAUGGGCGAAAGCCUGAUCCAGCCAUGCCGCGUGUGUGAAGAAGGUCUUCGGAUUGUAAAGCACUUUAAGUUGGGAGGAAGGGUUGUAACCUAAUACGUUGCAAUCUUGACGUUACCGACAGAAUAAGCACCGGCUAACUCUGUGCCAGCAGCCGCGGUAAUACAGAGGGUGCAAGCGUUAAUCGGAAUUACUGGGCGUAAAGCGCGCGUAGGUGGU
rnacentral:rRNA from 1 species